GUAAUAGCUGGUUCUCCCCGAAAUAGCUUUUGGGCUAGCCUUUGCAUAUAAUCUUUUGGAGGUAGAGCACUGAAUGGGAUUUCUUGAGCUUCGCUCGGAUCUCCCAAUCAAACUCCGAAUGCCAGAAGAUGUUUGCAGGGAGUUAGACUGUGGGGGCUAAGCUCCAUGGUCAAAAGGGAAGCAGCCCAGAUCUUAAUCUAAGGUCCCUAAACUAAGUUAAGUGUACUUAAGGAGGUGGAAUUCCUCUGAUAGCUAGGAGGUUAGCUCAGAAGCAGCUACCCUUUAAAAAGUGCGUAACAGCUUACUAGCUAAGGAAUUCCGCGCCGAAGAUUCACGGGACUAAAACUUAGUACCGAAGAUAAGGCAUCCGCCGAAAGGCGGAAUGGGUAGGGGAGCGCCCCGCUUGCUGCGAAGUCGGUUUGUAAAGACCGGUGGAGCGGGCGGGGGUGAGAAUGUUGGUAUGAGUAACCACAAGUCCGCUGAGAACGCGGACCACCGAAAACCCAAGGUUUCCUUGGCAAUGACAAUCAGCCAAGGGUUAGGCGGCCCUAAUCCGUCCACCGAAAGGUGUACGUGAAAUGGACAGCCGGUUAAUAUUCCGGCCCUUCCGCUUAUUCCAAUCAGUGACGCAGUUGCGCGGUUUCGGAGAGAUUAUUGGAUUUCUUUUCCGGACCAAACGAUUGCCCAGAAAAACUGAAAGGUUAUGUAAGCGGAAUCCGUACUGUAAACCGACACAGGUGGGUUGGCGUAAGUGCGCCAAGGUGAACGAGUGAAAGCUCCUAAAGGAACUCGGCAAAUUAGCAGGCGUAACUUCGGAAUAUGCCUUGCCCUGAGAGAAAUCGAAGGGCCACAGCUAAAGAGCCCCUAGCGACUGUUUAUCAAAAACACAGGUCUCUGCUAAACUCGUAAGAGGAUGUAUAGAGGCUGAAGCCUGACCAGUGCUGGAACGUUAACAGUUCCGGUCGUUGCCGCAAGGUAACGGCUGAGGACUCGAAGCGCCAGUAAACGUCGGCGGUAACUAUAACCGUCCAAAGGUAGCGUAAUCCCUUGCCAGGUAAGUUCUGGCCCGCUUGAAAGGCCUAACGACUGGGGGACUGUCUCUAGGAGUUGCUCGGUGAAAAUACAAUACCGGUGAAGACGCCGGUUACCUGCGGCUAGACGGAAAGACCCCGAGAGCUUUACUGUAGUUAGGUAUUGGGUUUUGGUUUUUGAUGCGUAGCGUAGGUGGCAGGCUUUGAAAGUCGCCUUUCGGGGCGACUGGAGCCGACAAUGAAACACCACUCUUUAAAAACCAUAAUUCUAACUUUGCUUAUGCAAAAGACAGUGCCUAAUGGGCAGUUUAAGUGGGGCACUUUUCUCCUAAAGAGUAAUGGAGAAGUUUAAAGGUCAGCUAGCUCCGGAUGGAAACCGGAGUGGUCGUGUAAAGGCACAAGCUGGCUUUACUGCAAGGCGGGUGUGCCGCGCAGUUGGGAAACCAGAACUUAGUGAACCGAUGGAUUUUAAUAGAAAAUCCAGAGAUCAUCAGACAAAAGUUACCUCGGGGAUAACAGGCUAGUAGAGCCCGCGAGUCCAUAUCAACGGCUCUGUUCGGCACCUCGAUGUCGGCUCAGCGCAUCCUGGGGGUGGAGCAGCUCCCAAGGGUUUGGCUGUUCGCCAAUUAAAGCGUUACGUGAGCUGGGUUCAAACCGUCGCGAGACAGGUUGGUCCCUAUCUACCGCAGGCGUAGAAUCUUGAGGGGAUUUGACUACAGUACGAGAGGACCUAGUUGAACUGACCUCUGGCAUACCAGCUGUUCUGCCAAGAGCACUGCUGGGUAACUAAGUCAGGAAGGGAUAAGCGCUGAAAGCAUCUAAGCGCGAAACCCACCCUAAGAUUAGGAUUCAUAGAUUGGUUGGAGAUGACGACCUUGAUAGGCUGCAGGUGGAAGCCCAGUAAUGGGUUAAGCCAAGCAGUACUAACAAAUCAUCAAUUAUUUUAU
rnacentral:rRNA from 1 species